rnacentral:rRNA from 1 species
UACGUAGGGUGCGAGCGUUGUCCGGAAUUAUUGGGCGUAAAGAGCUCGUAGGCGGUUUGUUGCGUCGGCCGUGAAAACUUGGGGCUUAACUCCGAGCUUGCGGUCGAUACGGGCAGACUUGAGUUCGGCAGGGGAGACUGGAAUUCCUGGUGUAGCGGUGAAAUGCGCAGAUAUCAGGAGGAACACCGGUGGCGAAGGCGGGUCUCUGGGCCGAUACUGACGCUGAGGAGCGAAAGCGUGGGGAGCGAACAGG